UGUAUUAUUGUAAAUAUUUUAUGUAUAAAUUUGACUUUUAAAAGUCAUAACGUCGAUGAAGAUGAUGUAUAAGAAAAUUAAAGACCACAAUGGGAAAUCAGAAAAUGAUCGACAAACAUGGCAAUACUUUGAGCUAAUGGAACAAAUUUUCGGUAAAAAAUCGUGGAUAAAACCUUUGUCAACCUUUACUUCGGCCACGAAUAUUUCUGAUGCACAGGACAUAGCGGCGACAAGUUUUGAACCAUCUCCAACAAAAAUUAAGAUGACUACCAUCGUCGAUAAGUAUUUAAAUGAAAUGAUUGAAAGUAAGGAACGAUCUCGAGAGGAAAAGAGCAAAAGGCAUGCGGCAACUAUGCAAAGACUUGAUAUACUUAAUAGUCUGUUGCAAAAAUUAAUUGAUAGAAAGGAUGAAUAAGAGUACUUUUUUUAAAAAGUAAAAAAAAUAUUGAAGCGUUUGUUUCUAUUUUCUAAAAAUUAUAUUUUAAAAAACAUUAUACUAUAUUUUAUAACUUCGUCUUAGGAACUUGUCAGAGUGUGAUAACUAAAUAUAAAAUAUUACUCAUUUAUUAAAAAAUAGCUAUUAACCGGUUGACUGUGUAUGACGGCUAUAAUCGCAACAUAGAAAAAAUUAAGUAAAACUUUCUGAAUUUGCUUGAAACUUGUUACUCGGGGGUUUCUGAAGUCGCUGAUUACGAAUCCAAAGUCAGAUAUACAAAAUUCAAAAUGGAGGAUCCAAUAUGGCGGAUCAAAAUUACAAAAAAUGGUUUAAUUUUUAUUAAAUUUGGUACCCUUGUUUUUUGGGUCUUUGAAUCCGAAUAUAAAAUCAAAAUUUAAAAAUGGCGGAUGCAAUAUGGCUUUAAAAUAGUAAUUCCGUCUAUUUUUUUGUAAUUUUGAUCCGCCAUAUUGGACCCAUUUUUAAUUUUGUAAAUCUGAUAUCCUAUUCGGAUUCAGAGACCCAAAAAACACAAGGGUACCAAGUUUCAUAAUAAUCCGAUGAACUUUCUUUUCAACAGACUUUUGGCCCAAAUAGUAAAAUUCUCUUACACAGCCAAUGGGUUAAAAGGCAUUAUACAUAUUAUAUUAUACAAUAGUAUUGUUCGUUUUGUCUGUUCUGGGUCUACUCGCAGCAAACCCAGAACAGACAAAACGAACAAGGCUAAUAAUACAACAUAUUUACAAAGUUAUUAGUAAGAAGAGAAAAAUCAAAUGUAGAAUUGUAAGCAUUCGUGAGAUCGAAAUGUUUGAUAACUUCAAAGAGAUAAUACACUGUUUUAUUUCAAAUAUAUAUUUGUUUGCGAAGUGAAGGUUGUGUAAUAUUAUAGCAUUUGUAAGCAUUCGUAAAACUGAAAUGUUCAACAAUCUCAAAGGUAUUAAUAUUUUAUUUCAAAUAUAUAUUUUGUUUGCAAAGUGAAGGUUGUGUAAUUAUAAGGAGAUAUAAUAAAGUUACUAUUGUGUAUUGGCAAUUAAUAGGCUGACAAACAAUGUUGACAUUUUAGGAUAAAUUAUUUUUACAAUACAAAUAAAUUCUUUUUACUUUUAA